CAAUGGGUCACGUUAUCUGGAGCGAUGUGACAUAACUCGCUCACUUUGUCGUCGCGCAGGCAAAGCUUCGUAAUUUUUCGUGAUCGCGUCUGGGUCUGCGUGGCACGUGCCUCAAGUAACGCCCACGUUCAUAAGACUCUCGUUGCAUGGCAGCCUGUCGGGCAUGGAUUUGCGAACUAAAAGUUUAACGCAUUAACUUACUGCGCGAGAGGAUGUGGGCAUUUGUCGUCGACAACAAGCCAGCUGUAGCCGAGGACGCAGCUUCCACUAUAUGCCAGUGCAUGUCUUUGUUUACCUUGCGAGACACGACUCUUUUGUCCAUUUAGAUUACAUUCUCGAACAAAGCUGAAGAAUUUCUUUCACAAUAAACCGAACGUAUGUCGCGUCAAGAUUUUAAAGAAGACAUCGGAACAGAAAAUACAUCCGUGCAAAUACAUUUAAAAAGUAUAAAUAUACAGAAGCGACUUGCCUCGAGUGUUUCGAGAGUGCAGACUUUUGAUACAUCUCUAAACAGUUGGAACACUUCAAUCGUCCCUGCCAUUUUUAUCGGAAGUCGUCUGAUGGUUAUUUCCGGAGGUAAGAGCAAAGGACACGCAAGCCUAUAUUAAUUUUUGAGAGCAAUCGAAAAAAUAAGAGGGCAUCGAACAAAGGAAAUUCCAGUAGUAUUAAUUCAUCGUUAUCGACCUGUGAAAUUGCCGGAAGAGAAGUAAAGUCAAUCCACUCAUAUUUGUGGAGUACCCUAAUUACUGGACGCAAUGUAU